rnacentral:rRNA from 1 species
UUUAUGGAGAGUUUGAUCCUGGCUCAGGAUGAACGCUGGCGGCGUGCCUAAUACAUGCAAGUCGAGCGAACGGACGAGAAGCUUGCUUCUCUGAUGUUAGCGGCGGACGGGUGAGUAACACGUGGAUAACCUACCUAUAAGACUGGGAUAACUUCGGGAAACCGGAGCUAAUACCGGAUAAUAUUUUGAACCGCAUGGUUCAAAAGUGAAAGACGGUCUUGCUGUCACUUAUAGAUGGAUCCGCGCUGCAUUAGCUAGUUGGUAAGGUAACGGCUUACCAAGGCAACGAUGCAUAGCCGACCUGAGAGGGUGAUCGGCCACACUGGAACUGAGACACGGUCCAGACUCCUACGGGAGGCAGCAGUAGGGAAUCUUCCGCAAUGGGCGAAAGCCUGACGGAGCAACGCCGCGUGAGUGAUGAAGGUCUUCGGAUCGUAAAACUCUGUUAUUAGGGAAGAACAUAUGUGUAAGUAACUGUGCACAUCUUGACGGUACCUAAUCAGAAAGCCACGGCUAACUACGUGCCAGCAGCCGCGGUAAUACGUAGGUGGCAAGCGUUAUCCGGAAUUAUUGGGCGUAAAGCGCGCGUAGGCGGUUUUUUAAGUCUGAUGUGAAAGCCCACGGCUCAACCGUGGAGGGUCAUUGGAAACUGGAAAACUUGAGUGCAGAAGAGGAAAGUGGAAUUCCAUGUGUAGCGGUGAAAUGCGCAGAGAUAUGGAGGAACACCAGUGGCGAAGGCGACUUUCUGGUCUGUAACUGACGCUGAUGUGCGAAAGCGUGGGGAUCAAACAGGAUUAGAUACCCUGGUAGUCCACGCCGUAAACGAUGAGUGCUAAGUGUUAGGGGGUUUCCGCCCCUUAGUGCUGCAGCUAACGCAUUAAGCACUCCGCCUGGGGAGUACGACCGCAAGGUUGAAACUCAAAGGAAUUGACGGGGACCCGCACAAGCGGUGGAGCAUGUGGUUUAAUUCGAAGCAACGCGAAGAACCUUACCAAAUCUUGACAUCCUUUGACAACUCUAGAGAUAGAGCCUUCCCCUUCGGGGGACAAAGUGACAGGUGGUGCAUGGUUGUCGUCAGCUCGUGUCGUGAGAUGUUGGGUUAAGUCCCGCAACGAGCGCAACCCUUAAGCUUAGUUGCCAU